CGCUGCGGAUUCCCCAGUAAACACCAGAGGGCGCUCGUCACUAGUCACUCGCUGCAAAGACAGCGGGUGUUGUAGUUUUACCGGCGAUUUGGCGCGUCGGAGCUAUAAAGCAGCUUCGUGAAGGAACGCGCCUCAUGUUCAGCUGGAUCUCGGGCUGCACACCGACAGCUUGUGUGUCUCUGCCGCCUGAAACUGCUGAUACUUCUUUCCAAGAGAGGACUCGGAUGGCGACGAGACUCUUGGCUGUUGUGACUCUAUGCUGGAUAAAUGGCGCGAAUGCAGCGCUUCACUCUCUCACCUUUAUUCACACUGGAUCAACUGACAUUCCAAACUUACCAGAGUAUGUGGAGGUUGGUUUGGUGGACGAUGUUCCGUUCCUUCACUAUGACAGCGACCGCAAGAGAGUAGAACCCAGACAGGACUGGAUGAUGCGACUCACAGCUGAUGACCCAUCAUAUUUGGAGAGAGAAACACAGAGGAACUUGAAUAACCAGAAGAUCAUGAUGAACAACAUCAGAGCUAAAGGUGUCAACAUUAUUCAGAGGAUAAUCAGCUGUGAGUGGAACGAUGAGACUGGAGAGGUCAGAGGUCAUUCGCGGUACGCUUAUGACGGAGAAGACUUUCUAUCGUUCAACCAGAAGACUCUGACAUGGGACGCUGCGAGUCCACAGGCUGUGAGCACCAAACACAUGUGGGACAACGAUGGUUAUACCAAAUACAUGCAGCACUACCUGACCCAGGUGUGUCCUGAGUUCCUGAAGACACUGCUGCACUACGGGAAGAGCUUCCUCCUGAGAACAGAGCUCCCCUCAGUGUCUCUCCUCCAGAAGACUCCCUCCUCCCCCAUCGUCUGCCAUGCUACAGGCUUCUACCCUCCAAGAGCCAUGAUGUUCUGGACCAAAGAUGGAGAGGAGCUUCACAAAGAUGUUAAAAUCGGAGAAGUCCUCCCCAACCUUGAUGGAACCUUCCAGAUGAUGGCUGAGCUGAAGCUGUCAGACCCGUCUGAAGCCUGGGAGAGGUACACCUGUGUGUUCCAGAUCGGCGACGUUAACCACCGAACCACCAAGAUCACCAAGCUGGAGAAGGAGGCCAUUUUAACCAACUGGGAGCCGGAACAAGCCGUCACCAACACUGUCUCAGCGUCUGCUCUGGUUGUCGUCGCUGCUGCUGCUGCUGCUGUUGCUGCCGUUGCUGCUGUAGCUGCUGCUGCUGUUACUGCUGCUGGUGGACUGGUCAAUUGCAGAACAGGAGGUGAGCAGACAGGAGCAGGCUUCGGUCGUCAGGAGAAACAAUGUUCCACCACAUGCUUCAAGGCUUCACAUGUGGAACUCAAAGGUCCAUCAAAUGUUGUGAUGUUUCAAGCUGUUGUUGACUUUUUCAGGCUCAAGUCCAGAACCCUGUGAGUCAAUCUUCUCUGGUCUGCUGACAUCAUCAAACGUGCCUCUCAUGAUGAGGAUGUGAGUUGAGAGUGAUAUUGAUGUUUCAGCCCUCGACACCUCGGAUGGACUUCUGCAGCCAGUGGGAGCCCCCGCUGAAGAUCCAGCCCCCGGUGAGAGUCCCAUUCUUCAGGAGUCCAGAGGAGAGACGCUGCUGUGACUCUCCUGUGAGCCAGUGUGAAGAUGAGUGCAGGCAGGGUGGAGUACCUGGAGGAGUGUCAGAGUGAGAAGUAGAGGGAGUCAUGGGGUCUGGUAGGAGGAGUCAAAGUGAGAGAAACUAUGAUGGGAUAUAUGAGGAGAAGAAGAGUGAGGAUGGAGUCAUGGCUUUUUCUCUGAAGGUAUCACUCCUGCUUCCUGAAGAUGAUUGAGCUGGGGGCCGAGAGGACACCUGUGAGUCAGAUGCCGAGUUGUUCACGAGUCAGAGUCACCAACAAGAUGACUCCCUGUGUUCUUGUCUGGUGUGGCACUGUGAUGAGCAGCAGAGCUGCAUCACAUCAACACUCGGUUCCUCCUCUUCAACAUCCAGUGGCACGAGCUUGUGAGCGCCACCCUGUGGUUCUGACCCAGUGCUUCUGAUCAGGAACCAUCAUUGUGGUGCAGCGAGUGGAAAUGGUUGUGUUUAUAUUCUGAGCAGAGUCGGUAUCAAGAGAGUUGCAGCAGUGAUGACUGUCAUAUUCUACACCUCCAAACAUGUCAUGUGACAGGAGGAGCAGACAAGAGGAGAGCAGGAUGUGAAGGAGGGCCAUGUGAUGGAGAAGCAGUGAUCUGAUCUGGAUGACUGAGAUGAAACUGUUUCCCGUGAAGUGGUUUUGUGGAGCCAGUGGUUGCUGUGGAGAUCACUAUUAUGGGAUGGAUUAGAGAGCUGAGAGGAUGGACGUGCAGGAAGUGACAGAGAAUGAGCAGAGGGGAGGUGGACCUGCUGUAGUGACCCUGAGAAAGAGAAGCUGGAGAACAUUGGAACUCCAUGUUCCCAGUGGUUCUUCAGCCUGUGUCUGGAGAAGGAGCUCACACUGUCUCUGAUGUUCCAGCCAAGUCUUCAGACACGCCGGUGGAAGUCCAGGAUGAAGAGCCUGCCAUUGUGUGAACUCAUGUGGCAGGAGAAGAAGAGUGGAGAUGGAGUUCUUCUGUCAAAGUCACCAGGAUUGGAUUUGAGCGCCGCAGCUGUUGGAACAAUCCAUGAGUCAGCGAUUUUUGCGUCUCUGCGCUUCCUUCUCUUUCUUACACACACACACAUACAGGGUCAAAGCCACAAAAAGUUAGCAACUGUCUUUAUUGAACAUCUAUUUUUAGUUGUCUGUGAACAUUGUCUCUGUUUUGUGAUGGAGAUUUGUUCAUAGCUGUUGUGACAGAACAACAUUGUAAAAGAUUCAUGGAUGAAAAUUAAA